UCUUCCAAGGGGAAUAACUGAAGGCACCAGAUCCCUUCUGCUCUUGGAAGUUAGGCAGGGUCAGCUUUGGUUUGUACUUGGAUGGGAGACAGACAACGAAUCCCAGGUGGUGUAGGCU
rnacentral:rRNA from 11 species